GGACGGAGGAGAACAGGUUGACCGCGUUGUUGUCCAGGAUGGGUUUCCCACUGAUCCGCUGGGUGGUGGCGGACUCGUAACCCACCACCUUCCCGAUGCUGGAGUCGAAGCCUGCAGACAGACGGAGAGGAAAGCGAUCAGGAAGGAGUCCAGCAUCGAUCCCAGCAGGCCGGCCACACCGCCGUACACUAUGAUUGGCCACUGGGGGUCCGCCAGGUGCAGGUCGCUCACAAACAGAAGCUGGGUCGCAAAGUAAGCCCCGCCCACUACCAGCCCGCCCAGGAAGCUGGCGACCAAUCCGACAGGUGUAACUCCACCGUUCGUUCCUGGAGCGAGACAAAGCAGAAGAAGGAGAAUCAGAGUGGAUCCUGUGUUUCUUCUCUACAUCUUCACAGCGUGAAAGGCAGCUUUUGUUUAUGUCCAGGUGGUGAUGAGUCGAGGCUGCGAUUGGCUGAGGACAGGCCCCACCUCUGACGCCCAGGUGUCCCCAGUGCUGCAUGCCAGUGCUCCCAGCAGAGACAGGCACAUCCAGGAGGCAGAGUACUGUUUCCCAAAGUCAAUGGGGAUCUCACCUGGACCCACCUGAAACACAGCCGCCAUUUAUAACCAUCAGCUACAGGAAACGAACACGACUGUCGGUUUCAUCUGCAUGGAGAAGAAACUACUUUGAUUAUUGCCUGGAAUUUUAUUGUGAUUUUGUGAAAAGCUUCCAAUAAAGUUUGUGCAUUUACCUCAA